rnacentral:misc_RNA from 1 species
GAUACUUGGUCUAUGAGUUGAUACCGAAAGGAGUCCUCAUGACCAAAUUCACCUCUUGUGCACUAUAUUGUCUUUUGGUAGUUUAUACCUUGGUAUAGGCUGCCAAACUUUAUAACAAACCAUAUAAACUUGUCUGAAAUUAUAUAUAAAUAUAAACAACUUUUGACAACGGAUCUCUUGGCUCU